rnacentral:rRNA from 1 species
CCUACGGGGGGCAUCCGUAUUUCCUCUUCCACACUUUUCUCCCUCCUUAUUGAGCAACGCCGCGUGGGUGAAGAAGGUCUUCGGAUCGUAAAACCCUGUUGUUAGAGAAGAAAGUGCGUGAGAGUAACUGUUCACGUUUCGACGGUAUCUAACCAGAAAGCCACGGCUAACUACGUGCCAGCAGCCGCGGUAAUACGUAGGUGGCAAGCGUUAUCCGGAUUUAUUGGGCGUAAAGGGAACGCAGGCGGUCUUUAAGUCUGAUGUGAAAGCCUUCGGCUUAACCGGAGUAGUGCAUUGGAAACUGG